rnacentral:snoRNA from 1 species
AAGACUAUACUUACAGGGAUCAUUUCUAUAGUUUGUUACUAGAGAAGUUUCAGAAACCAUAACUCAAAAAGAGUCAUGUACCACAAUGUUCAUUGCAGCUCUGUUUACAAUAGCCAGGACAUGG